GCCUAACACAUGCAAGUCGAGCGGUAGAGAGAAGCUUGCUUCUCUUGAGAGCGGCGGACGGGUGAGUAAUGCCUAGGAAUCUGCCUGGUAGUGGGGGAUAACGUUCGGAAACGGACGCUAAUACCGCAUACGUCCUACGGGAGAAAGCAGGGGACCUUCGGGCCUUGCGCUAUCACAUGAUCCUAGGUCGGAUUACCUAGUUGGUGAGGUAAUGGCUCAGCAAGGACACUAUCCGUAACUGGUCUGACAAGAUGAUCAGGCACCACUGAUAACU
rnacentral:rRNA from 1 species